rnacentral:rRNA from 1 species
CACGAACGCUGGCGGCAGGCUUAACACAUGCAAGUCGAGCGCCCCGCAAGGGGAGCGGCAGACGGGUGAGUAACGCGUGGGAAUCUACCCAUCUCUACGGAAUAACGCAUGGAAACGUGUGCUAAUACCGUAUACGUCCUUCGGGAGAAAGAUUUAUCGGAGAUGGAUGAGCCCGCGUUGGAUUAGCUAGUUGGUGGGGUAAAGGCCUACCAAGGCGACGAUCCAUAGCUGGUCUGAGGGGAUGGUCAGCCACACUGGGACUGAGACACGGCCCAGACUCCUACGGGAGGCAGCAGUGGGGAAUAUUGGACAAUGGGCGCAAGCCUGAUCCAGCCAUGCCGCGUGAGUGAUGAAGGCCCUAGGGUUGUAAAGCUCUUUCACCGGUGAAGAUAAUGACGGUAACCGGAGAAGAAGCCCCGGCUAACUUCGUGCCAGCCGCCGCAGUAAAAC